AUUGAACGCUGGCGGAAUGCUUUACACAUGCAAGUCGAACGGUAGAGGGGGCAACCCCUCGAGAGUGGCGAACGGGUGAGUAAUAUAUCGGAACGUGCCCAGCCGUGGGGGAUAACGUAGCGAAAGUUACGCUAAUACCGCAUACGAUCUAAGGAUGAAAGCGGGGGAUCGCAAGACCUCGCGCGAUUGGAGCGGCCGAUAUCAGAUUAGGUAGUUGGUGGGGUAAAGGCUCACCAAGCCAACGAUCUGUAGCUGGUCUGAGAGGACGACCAGCCACACUGGAACUGAGACACGGUCCAGACUCCUACGGGAGGCAGCAGUGGGGAAUUUUGGACAAUGGACGCAAGUCUGAUCCAGCCAUUCCGCGUGCAGGAUGAAGGCCCUCGGGUUGUAAACUGCUUUUGUACGGAACGAAAAGGUCUCUCUUAAUACGAGGGGCUCAUGACGGUACCAUAAGAAUAAGCACCGGCUAACUACGUGCCAGCCGCCGCAGUAA
rnacentral:rRNA from 1 species